rnacentral:rRNA from 1 species
AUUGAACGCUGGCGGCACGCCUAACACAUGCAAGUCGAGCGGCAGCGCGAUAUGUAGCAAUACAUAUUGGCGGCGAGCGGCGAACGGGUGAGGAACACGUAGGAACCUGCCCUCGAGUGGGGGAUAACCAAGGGAAACUUUGGCUAAUACCGCAUGAUUUCGAGAGAGCAAAGCUGCCGCAAGGUGGCGCUCGAGGAGGGGCCUGCGUCCGAUUAGCUAGUUGGUGAGGUAAGAGCUCACCAAGGCGAUGAUCGGUAACUGGUCUGAGAGGACGACCAGUCACACGGGGACUGAGACACGGCCCAGACUCCUACGGGAGGCAGCAGUGGGGAAUAUUGGACAAUGGGGGCAACCCUGAUCCAGCGAUGCCGCGUGAGUGAAGAAGGCCUUCGGGUCGUAAAGCUCUUUAGGUUGGGAAGAAGAGUGAUGGAGGAAAUGCUAUCACUUUGACGGUACCGACAGAAUAAGCACCGGCAAACUCUGUGCCAGCCGCCGCCGUAAUAC